rnacentral:rRNA from 1 species
UGCCAGCAGCCGCGGUAAUACGUAUGUCGCAAGCGUUAUCCGGAAUUAUUGGGCGUAAAGCGAGUCUAGGCGGCUUGCUAAGUCAGAUGUGAAAAUGCGGGGCUCAACUCCGUAUUGCGUUUGAAACUGGCAGGCUAGAGUACUGGAGAGGAAAGUGGAAUUUCUGGUGUAGCGGUGACAUGUGUAGAUAUCAGAAGGAACACCAAUGGCGAAGGCAGCUUUCUGGCCUAAAACUGACGCUGAGGGACGAAAGCGUGGGGAGCGAACAGGAUUAGAUA